AAUGGACGAAAGUCUGACGGAGCAACGCCGCGUGAACGAUGAAGGCUUUCGGGUCGUAAAGUUCUGUUGUCAGGGAAGAACAAGUACCGGAGUAACUGCCGGUACCUUGACGGUACCUGACCAGAAAGCCACGGCUAACUACGUGCCAGCAGCCGCGGUAAUACGUAGGUGGCAAGCGUUGUCCGGAAUUAUUGGGCGUAAAGCGCGCGCAGGCGGUUCCUUAAGUCUGAUGUGAAAGCCCCCGGCUCAACCGGGGAGGGUCAUUGGAAACUGGGGAACUUGAGUGCAGAAGAGGAGAGCGGAAUUCCACGUGUAGCGGUGAAAUGCGUAGAGAUGUGGAGGAACACCAGUGACGAAGGCGGCUCUCUGGUCUGUAACUGACGCUGAGGCGCGAAAGCGUGGGGAGCGAACAGGAUUAGAUACCCUGGUAGUCCACGCCGUAAACGAUGAGUGCUAAGUGUUAGAGGGUUUCCGCCCUUUAGUGCUGCAGCAAACGCAUUAAGCACUCCGCCUGGGGAGUACGGC
rnacentral:rRNA from 1 species